UGGCUUAGGUGGAGUUGGUGUUGGCGGUGUUACGACCGGUGGGCUUGGUGUUGGUGGCGUAACAACAGGUGGCGGUGGGCACGGUGAUGGCGGUGGCGGUGGGCACGGUGAUGGCGGCGUUACGACGGGUGGAGGCGUAUGAGUGGGUGGUUUAGGGGUGGACGGAGGUGGUUUAACAGUGGGCGGUUUCGUGGGUGGUUUCGGGGUAGACGGAGGAGGUUUAACGGUGGGCGGUUUCGUGGGUGGUUUCGGGGUGGACGGAGGUGGUUUAACGGUGGGCGGUUUCGUGGGUGGUUUCGGGGUGGGAUGAGGUUUGGUAGGGGGUUUCGGAUGUGGGUGUGGUUUGACAGUGGGCGGUUUGGUAGGGGGUUUAGGGUGUGGGUGUGGUUUGACGGUGGGUGGUUUGGGAGGUUUUACUGCCGGUGGUUUAGGCGGUUUGCUAGGAUGUUUAGGCGGUUUGUGGGGGUGAGGUGAUGGUUUAGGAGGGCUACAGUCGCAAGCGAAGGAGACGGCAAGAAAGCCAAGGAAGAG
rnacentral:lncRNA from 1 species